GAAGCUGCCGCUGACCCUGCAGGCUCCUCUGGACUACUGGAAUUGGACCGAGCGCAGGAAGGUGCUGCAGACGCUGGUCAUGUGAUCUGAGCCUUCGACACAAACUGUGUUUGUCUGUUUUAAUCUCGUGAUAACGGCCGAUUAUCAUGGACUGUAUGACAAGUUCUCGACACCUGCCAGAAGCCUCUGAGAAAGGAAACAGCCGCCUCACAAAGGAGAAGAAACGCCUCAAACAUCAGACAUGGACCCCGAAGCUCUGCUGCUCUUCAUCCUCACGUCACAGCUUCAGAUCCAAGAGGUUACCAGCAGGACGACAGACGUGUCUCUCUACUCCCGGAGUGGACAGGAUGUCUUUCUGUCUUGUCUGAACACAUCUCCCGGUGACACGACGUGCUCGCUGGUCUCCUGGAUUUACAGCAUGGAUCAGAUCCAGUCUUCAUUCGUGGUUAAGGAAGGAAAGGUGGAGAGAAGGUUUGCUCAGGGCUCCUGCUUGAGCCUGGACACAAGGUGCUCUUUGGUCAUCAGGAACGUCACGGCCGAGGACGUCGGAGGCUACACCUGCAGGCAGGGCCAGGACGUUAACCGGGACGAACAAGUGUCCCUCAGUGUCAUGACGGUCUCUCCCUCUGAAGCGGGCUCUGACCCCGGGGGGGUCGGCGAGGUCACCCUGCGGUGCACUGUGCGGAGGCCCCCCGGGCUUCUUCUGCCUCGUGGGCAGCCUCCGAUGGCGGGACGAGGCGGGGACGGAGCUGCGGGCGGAAGGCACCGGCCGCACCCUCCUCAGGCAGACGUGCUGCGUCUCCAUGGUGACCGUGAGGCGGCAGGCCGGACCAAACAGGAAGUACACCUGCCAGUUUGUCGACGCCGAAGGCAUCGCUAUAAGAGCCGAUUACACACCUGACUUCUCAGAUGGCGCCCUUGAUCACCCCUCCAUCAUCAUCAUCAUCAUCGCUGUGGUCGCCGUGGUCGCGGGGGGUGGGCGCCUUGGUCGUCAUGGUCGCAGUUCUCAUCAAAUACAGGAAGAGAUCCAAAGGGACAGAGG
ensembl:lncRNA